rnacentral:rRNA from 1 species
GACGAACGCUGGCGGCGUGCUUAACACAUGCAAGUCGAACGAUGAAGCUAGAGCUUGCUCUGGUGAAUUAGUGGCGAACGGGUGAGUAACACGUGAGUAACCUGCCCCGAACUCUGGGAUAACUGCUGGAAACGGUAGCUAAUACUGGAUACGACCUACGAAGGCAUCUUCUGUAGGUGGAAAGAAUUUCGGUUCGGGAUGGACUCGCGGCCUAUCAGCUUGUUGGUGAGGUAAUGGCUCACCACGGCGACGACGGGUAGCCGGCCCGCGAGGGGAGCCGGCCACACUGGGACUGAGACACGGCCCAGAAUCCUACGGGAGGCAGCGGUGGGAAACAUUGCACAGUGGGCGCAAGCCUGAUGCGGCAACGCCGCGGGUGGUAUGACGGCCUUCGGGGUGUAAACCUCUUUUGGUAGAGAAGAAGCGAACGUGACGGCACCUGCAGAAAAAGCACCGGCUAACUACGUGCCAGCCGCCGCCGUAA